rnacentral:rRNA from 1 species
CCCUUAGAUGUUCUGGGCCGCACGCGCGCUACACUGAUACGUUCAACAAGUUCCUUGGCCGAAAGGUCUGGGUAAUCUUUGAAACCGUAUCGUGAUGGGGAUAGAACAUUGCAAUUAUUGUUCUUCAACGAGGAAUGCCUAGUAAGCGCGAGUCAUCAACUCGCGUUGAUUACGUCCCUGCCCUUUGUACACACCGCCCGUCGCACCUACCGAUUGAAUGGUCCGGUGAAAUCUCGGGACGGCGGCUUGGUCGCUUGCGUCCGACUGCUGAAACUUGAUUAAACCAUAUCAUUUAGAGGAAGGUGAAGUCGUAACA